CCUACGGGAGGCAGCAGUGAGGAAUAUUGGUCAAUGGACGCAAGUCUGAACCAGCCAUGCCGCGUGCAGGAAGACGGCUCUAUGAGUUUGAAACUGCUUUUGUACGAGGGUAAACGCAGAUACGCGUAUCUGUCUGAAAGUAUCGUACGAAUAAGGAUCGGCUAACUCCGUGCCAGCAGCCGCGGUAAUACGGAGGAUUCAAGCGUUAUCCGGAUUGAUUGGGUUUAAAGGGUGCGUAGGCGGUCGGAUAAGUUAGAGGUGAAAUCCCGAGGCUCAACUUCGGAAUUGCCUCUGAUACUGGUGGGCGAGAGAGUAGGUGCGGUAGGCGGAAUGUAUGGUGUAGCGGUGAAAUGCUUAGAGAUCAUACAGAACACCGAUUGCGAAGGCAGCUUACCAAGCUACUUCUGACGUUGAGGCACGAAAGCGUGGGGAGCAAACAGGAGUAGAUACCCCAGUAGUC
rnacentral:rRNA from 1 species